rnacentral:rRNA from 1 species
GCAAGUCGAACGGGAAAUAUUUCAUUGAGACUUCGGUGGAUUUGAUCUAUUUCUAGUGGCGGACGGGUGAGUAACGCGUGGGUAACCUGCCUUAUACAGGGGGAUAACAGUCAGAAAUGGCUGCUAAUACCGCAUAAGCGCACAGAGCUGCAUGGCUCAGUGUGAAAAACUCCGGUGGUAUAAGAUGGACCCGCGUUGGAUUAGCUGGUUGGUGGGGUAACGGCCCACCAAGGCGACGAUCCAUAGCCGGCCUGAGAGGGUGAACGGCCACAUUGGGACUGAGACACGGCCCAGACUCCUACGGGAGGCAGCAGUGGGGAAUAUUGCACAAUGGGGGAAACCCUGAUGCAGCGACGCCGCGUGAAGGAAGAAGUAUCUCGGUAUGUAAACUUCUAUCAGCAGGGAAGAUAGUGACGGUACCUGACUAAGAAGCCCCGGCUAACUACGUGCCAGCAGCCGCGGUAAUACGUAGGGGGCAAGCGUUAUCCGGAUUUACUGGGUGUAAAGGGAGCGUAGACGGUGUGGCAAGUCUGAUGUGAAAGGCAUGGGCUCAACCUGUGGACUGCAUUGGAAACUGUCAUACUUGAGUGCCGGAGGGGUAAGCGGAAUUCCUAGUGUAGCGGUGAAAUGCGUAGAUAUUAGGAGGAACACCAGUGGCGAAG